rnacentral:rRNA from 1 species
GACGUAGGAGGCGAGCGUUGUCCGGAUUCAUUGGGCGUAAAGAGCACGCAGGCGGUUUGGCAAGUCGGACGUGAAAAUCCGGGGCUCAACCCCGGACCUGCAUCCGAAACUGCCCGACUAGAGGUAGGUAGGGGAGAUCGGAAUUCCUGGUGUAGCAGUGAAAUGCGUAGAUAUCAGAAGGAACAUCAGUGGCGAAGGCGGCUUUCUGGACCAAUACUGACGAUCAGGUGCGAAAGCGUGGGGAGCAAACAGG